rnacentral:rRNA from 1 species
UACGAAGGGGGCUAGCGUUGCUCGGAAUCACUGGGCGUAAAGCGCACGUAGGCGGGUCUUUAAGUCAGGGGUGAAAUCCUGGAGCUCAACUCCAGAACUGCCUUUGAUACUGAGGAUCUCGAGUCCGGGAGAGGUGAGUGGAACUCCGAGUGUAGAGGUGAAAUUCGUAGAUAUGACAUAGAACACCGAUAGCGAAGGCAGCUUACUACAGGAUGAUUGACGCUGAGGCACGAAAGCGAGGGGAGCAAACAGG